rnacentral:rRNA from 1 species
UACAGAGGGUGCGAGCGUUAAUCGGAAUUACUGGGCGUAAAGCGUGCGUAGACGGUAGCGUAAGUCAGAUGUGAAAGCCCCGGGCUCAACCUGGGAACUGCAUUUGAGACUGCUCUGCUCGGGUGCGGAAGAGGGAAGCGGAAUUUCCGGUGUAGCGGUGAAAUGCGUAGAGAUCCGGAAGAACACCGGUGGCGAAGGCGGUCUGCUGGGGUAAUGCUGACACUGAUGCGCGACAGCGUGGGGAGCAAACAGG